AUUGAACGCUGGCGGCAUGCCUUACACAUGCAAGUCGAACGGUUACGCGGGGCAACCUGGCGACGAGUGGCGAACGGGUGAGUAAUGCAUCGGAACGUGCCCAGUAGUGGGGGAUAGCCCGGCGAAAGCCGGAUUAAUACCGCAUACGACCUACGGGUGAAAGCGGGGGACCGUAAGGCCUCGCGCUAUUGGAGCGGCCGAUGUCAGAUUAGGUAGUUGGUGGGGUAAGGGCCUACCAAGCCUUCGAUCUGUAGCUGGUCUGAGAGGACGACCAGCCACACUGGGACUGAGACACGGCCCAGACUCCUACGGGAGGCAGCGGUGGGGAAUUUUGGACAAUGGGCGCAAGCCUGAUCCAGCCAUGCCGCGUGCGGGAAGAAGGCCUCGG
rnacentral:rRNA from 1 species